CGGACGGGUGAGUAAUGUAUGGGGAUCUGCCUGAUGGAGGGGGAUAACUACUGGAAACGGUAGCUAAUACCGCAUAACGUCGCAAGACCAAAGAGGGGGACCUUAGGGCCUCUUGCCAUCGGAUGUGCCCAGAUGGGAUUAGCUAGUAGGUGGGGUAACGGCUCACCUAGGCGACGAUCCCUAGUUGGUCUGAGAGGAUGACCAGCCACACUGGAACUGAGACACGGUCCAG
rnacentral:rRNA from 1 species